rnacentral:rRNA from 1 species
UGCCACAUCCAAGGAAGGCAGCAGGCACGCAAAUUACCCACUCCCGGCACGGGGAGGUAGUGACGAAAAAUAACAAUACGGGACUCAUCCGAGGCCCCGUAAUUGGAAUGAGUACACUUCAAAUCCUUUAACAAGGAUCCAUUGGAGGGCAAGUCUGGUGCCAGCAGCCGCGGUAAUUCCAGCUCCAAUAGCGUAUAUUAAAGUUGCUGCAGUUAAAAAGCUCGUAGUUGGAUCUCAGUUACGGGCAGGUGGUUCACUUUACGGUGUUACUACUUGAACCGAACCUAUUGCUGGUACUCUUGGUUGCCCUUUACUGGGUGGCCUUAGAGACCAGAGCGUUUACUUUGAGAAAAUUAGAGUGCUCAAAGCAGGCGAAAGCCGGAAUAGUUGUGCAUGGAAUAAUGAAAGAAGGCCUCGGUGCCAUUUUGUUGGUUCUCGGUGCUUGAGGUAAUGGUUGAAAGGGACAGACGGGGGCAUUAGUAUUGCGACGUUAGAGGUGAAAUUCUUAGAUCGUCGCAAGACUGACUACUGCGAAAGCAUUUGCCAAGAAUGUCUUCAUUAAUCAAGAACGAAAGUUAGAGGUUCGAAGGCGAUCAGAUACCGCCCUAGUUCUAACCUUAAACGAUGCUAACUGGCGAUCCGGUGGGGGUACUUCAAUGACCUGCCGGGCAGCUUCUGGGAAACCAAAGUUUUUGGGUUCCGGGGGAAGUAUGGUUGCAAAGCUGGAACUUAAAGGAAUUGACGGAAGGGCACCACCAGGAGUGGAGCCUGUGGCUUAAUUUGACUCAACACGGGAAACCUCACCAGGCCCAGACACUAGAAGGAUUGACAGAUUGAUAGCUCUUUCUUGAUUUGGUGGAUGGUGGUGCAUGGCCGUUCUUAGUUGGUGGAGUGAUUUGUCUGGUUAAUUCCGAUAACGAACGAGACUCUGGCCUAUUAAAUAGGCAGCGGAUAAUGAAUUUAGUCCGCAUUGUCUUCUUAGAGGGACAAGGCAGCUCCAAGCUGCAUGAAAUGGGGCAAUAACAGGUCUGUG